AGUUUUUAAGAUAAUGUUUCUUUGAUGGAAUAUAAGGUGUUAUUUGAGACUCACCAAGAAGAUGUCCCAAGAAAAUGUACAGAGAUUCUGCUAUACUUUAUUCCAUACCAUGUUACAAGAAAACAACAGUGACAGCUGACAAACCAUUACGUCUUUCAUAAUACAGACAAAUUACAAUUGGUAACAAAUAUGCAACAUGUAUUAUUCCAUUCUCCUUUACUAUGUGUCAUUUUGAAGGACAACAGUUUUCUGAAUGAUGCUAGCUCAUUUCUUAGGUACCAACCGCCUGUUAGGAAGUACACAUUUCAGUUUCUAUGCAAUUAUGCAGCAUAUUCCUAUGUAUAAGGGGCAGGCAAUAAUCUACCCCCAUAUGUACAGCCUAAACAUCCUCUUAUAUAACAAAGAUUACAAAACCAGUAAUAUUCACAGAUGAUUAUCUUGUGUAGACUCAUUACCUAAGGUAUUGAUCACACUGGCUAUCAUGUACACACUGAGGAAAGGAUACCAAGAGACCGUGCUUUCUGCAAGCUUGGCGGCUCCUCAGAGGACUCUUCUCGUCAGUCUUGGGAGGUAGGAAUAGC
rnacentral:lncRNA from 1 species